GACGAACGCUGGCGGCGUGCUUAACACAUGCAAGUCGAGCGGUAAGGCCCUUUCGGGGGUACACGAGCGGCGAACGGGUGAGUAACACGUGGGUGACCUGCCCUUAGCUCUGGGAUAAGCCUGGGAAACUGGGUCUAAUACCGGAUAUGACUCCAUGACGCAUGUUGUGGGGUGGAAAGCCUUGUGCGGCUAGGGAUGGGCCCGCGGCCUAUCAGCUUGUUGGUGGGGUGANGGCCUACCAAGGCGACGACGGGUAGCCGGCCUGAGAGGCGACCGGCCACACUGGGACUGAGACACGGGCCCAGACUCCUACGGGAGGCAGCAGUGGGGAAUCUUGCGCAAUGGGCGAAAGCCUGACGCAGCGACGCCGCGUGGGGA
rnacentral:rRNA from 1 species